CAGCAGCCGCGGUAAUACGAAGGGUGCAAGCGUUACUCGGAAUUACUGGGCGUAAAGCGUGCGUAGGUGGUGGUUUAAGUCGGAUGUGAAAUCCCUGAGCUUAACUUAGGAAUUGCAUUCGAUACUGGGAAGCUAGAGUAUGGGAGAGGAUGGUAGAAUUCCAGGUGUAGCGGUGAAAUGCGUAGAGAUCUGGAGGAAUACCGAUGGCGAAGGCAGCCAUCUGGCCUAAUACUGACGCUGAGGUACGAAAGCAUGGGGAGCAAACAGGAUUAGAUACCCCCGUAGUCCCUGUCUCUUAUAA
rnacentral:rRNA from 1 species